AGUGAACGCUGGCGGCGUGCUUAACACAUGCAAGUCGAACGAGAACGGAUUAUAGCUUGCUAUAAUUGUCAGCUAAGUGGCGCACGGGUGAGUAAUGUAUAGGUAAUAUGCCUCUUACUAAGGGAUAACAAAUGGAAACGUUUGCUAAUACCUUAUACCUCCUUAUUAACAGAAGUUAAUAAGGGAAAGAUUUAUUGGUAAGAGAUUAGCCUGUAUUGUAUCAGUUAGUUGGUGGGUAAUGGCUUACCAAGACUAUGACACAUAACUGGUUUGAGAGGAUGAUCAGUCACACUGGAACUGAGACACGGUCCAGACUCCUACGGGAGGCAGCAGUGGGGAAUAUUGCACAAUGGACGAGAGUCUGAUGCAGCAACGCCGCGUGGAGGAUGACACAUUUCGGUGCGUAAACUCCUUUGAUAUGAGAAGAUAAUGACGGUAUUAUAUGAAUAAGCACCGGCUAACUCCGUGCCAGCACGG
rnacentral:rRNA from 1 species